rnacentral:rRNA from 1 species
UACGUAGGGUGCGAGCGUUGAUCGGAAUUACUGGGCGUAAAGAGUGCGCAGGUGGCCGCGCAAGUCGAGUGUGAAAUCCCCGAGCUUAACUUGGGAAUUGCGCUCGAAACUACGUGGCUCGAGUGUGGCAGAGGAAGGUGGAAUUCCACGUGUAGCGGUGAAAUGCGUAGAGAUGUGGAGGAACACCGAUGGCGAAGGCAGCCUUCUGGGCCAACACUGACGCUCAUGCACGAAAGCGUGGGGAGCAAACAGG